rnacentral:rRNA from 1 species
UUAGUGGCGAAAGGGUUAGUAAUACAUGAGUAACUUACCUCUUACCUGGGGAUAACGGUUGGAAACGAUCGCUAAUACCGAAUGAGGAGCGCUGGGAUAACCCAGAGGCUUCAAAGUUGGGGACCCUUCGGGGCCUUGCGGUAGGAGAGAGGCUCAUGCGAUAUCAGCUUGUUGGUGUGGUAAAAGCGCACCAAGGCUAAGACGUCUAGGCGGACUGAGAGGUCGAGCGCCAACACUGGGACUGAGACACUGCCCAGACUCCUAUGGGAGGCUGCAGUCGAGAAUCAUUCACAAUGGGCGAAAGCCUGAUGAUGCGACGCCGUGUGGACGAUGAAGGCCUUAGGGUUGUAAAGUCCUUUCGCCAGGGAACAAGAGAGAGUAACUAAUAAUUGCUCAAUUUGAGUGUACCUGGUAAAGAAGCACCGGCUAACUCCGUGCCAGCAGCUGCGGUAAUACGGAGGGUGCAAGCAUUAAUCGGAUUUAUUGGGUGUAAAGAGCGCGUAGGCGGCUAGGUCAGUCAGAUGUGAAAUUCCGAAGCUCAACUUCGGAGCUGCAUUUGAAACUACCUAACUUGAGGUUGGACGGAGAAAACGGAAUUCCACGUGUAGCGGUGAAAUGCGUAGAUAUGUGGAAGAACACCCGUGGCGAAAGCGGUUUUCUAGUUCAAUCCUGACGCUGAGGCGCGAGAGCAAGGGGAGCAAACAGGAUUAGAUACCCUGGUAGUCCUUGCCGUAAACGAUGCAUACUUGGUGUAGCUGGACUCAACCCCAGCUGUGCCGGAGCUAACGCGUUAAGUAUGCCACCUGAGGAGUACGCCCGCAAGGGUGAAACUCAAAAGAAUUGACGGGGGCCCGCACAAGCAGUGGAGCAUGUGGUUUAAUU